CAGACCGGCUAUGUGGCUGUUGCAUAUACAAUGUAUAAAAUUGCCACUCCCGUGCGUUACUCAGUCACUCUAGGCGGAACUACAAUGACUAUCAAGCACUUAGUAAAGCAUGGUUUGAUCAAACCAGUUGAUAGCAAGAAGAUCCAGCAAAUAUACUCUGAAAAAAAGGAUCAAUUUAUGGAAAAACGUGACACAUUCAAAGAAAAUAUGAUUGAGAAAAAGGAGCGUAUGUUAUCACAAAUGGCUGAUGUCAAAAAAGAACUAAGCAAGCAGAACAAAAAAUAGUCUCCUUUGACUUUAACUUCACUCACAUCCAAGCGGAAGGAUGGCAUGGUGACAGCAAGAAGUGGAAUUUUUCUAAGUUGUUGGCUCAAUCCAAACCUUGAAGAAUUAUAGAGUUGUGAUAGGUUUUUAAGUUUGAGUGUGUUGUCAGGGACGUAGAUGUUAGUAUAGGUGUCAUCGCAAUAUUUAAUACAGAUCAAGGAUCUUAAACGAAGCUGUUGAUCAUCUGUUAUCAUAUUCUAAGGCGUGUCUUUCAGUUCAGGACUCAUACUUAAAUAAUUUGGUGCAACUUCAUUCUGGCUUUUAACACGGUUAAUCAAAAUUGACAAGUAUGUUGAUAUUACGUAUGAAGAUUCCCGGACUUGCCAGGAGGUGUUUUGAGGUUUAAAAGCUUUGUGUCUGAGGUCUGAUAUUGAGAGGAAACAACAUCUCCCUGAAAAUUGACCUGAAGGGUUGUUUUGGAUCAAAUUCUCAAGAUGUCUUUUGAAGUAAUGUUAAAGUUCAUGAUAUUUUUUUAUAUUUUUAUAUUGUCUAAGUGGAAGAAGAUGCAAAAAUUGUUUAUUGCAUUGCUCCUCAGAUCAAAUUUUUAUGAUCCAAGUUUGUAGACUACCAAAGAGUAUGUAAUUCAGUUUUUGAGCUGACAAGUUUCUACCCUCAGUACUAACAGAGUCUAAAAUCAUUCUUACCAAGUUUUUUACCUUCUAUUGUAAAAUUUGCCAAAACUUACUUCAGAAAACUAUUUCAUGGUCAAAAAUUACAAUCCUUCGACAGUUGGUAAGAGAGUUCUAUGACAAAUUUAAGAAAAACUGCAUAAUCGGAAAACAAAAAAUGUGAAAAACCUGGUAGAAAAAGUUUGACAACUUACCUUGUUGCCUGUAAAAGUUUACGAUCUUACUUUGCUCCUUGUAUGUGGUGGAAUU
rnacentral:lncRNA from 1 species